rnacentral:lncRNA from 1 species
CAUUUUCCACUUAGAUUCCAGACCUGGUUCACUAGUAAAGUCUCAAGCUCAUUACGUGCACCUACCACAAAUCACACUCUGGAUUACCUUUUCCAUUGAACCAAAGACCAAGAGGCAAUUCCACAUUUGUUUUUUUAUAAGUAUCAUUAACUUAAAAUACCACAUUGAUUUGCUUUUUUUUUUUUUUUGAUGAAGUAAGAUGUUAUGCUAUCAAAAGCAUCAAGAAGAUGCAUAGUUACCACAUUGAUUUGUUUCGUAACUUAAAAUACAAAAUAGAGGACAUAGAAAUUGAGAUAAUAUUAAGAAGCUAAAAAGCAACAAGAAGAUGGAUCAGCAUGCAGAACAGUUACCAGAAGUUCUGGAUAUACUUUUUUUUUAAUAAAAAAGUACUGAAUAUAUACCAAACGAACUGACGUAGUACCAAUAUUAACUAAAUUCGUGACAGACAUCGUUAUGAACAUAAUAUCACUAUAUUUGGGACAGAAUUACUUUUAGGAUUCUGGCUACUCGAAAAAUUGAACUUAUGAGUUACUCUUUAUAUUUCAAUGGAUCAGGCAGAGAAUUAAACUGACUGCAAUUCAUCAAACAAAAACAGAUGGAAUAGCAUAUGAGACUGCAUCAUACAUAGCAUUUCCUCGCAUUAAAAGAAAUACAUUUUGGAACCUUCAUUCACUUCUAGUUUGGUAUAUUUUGAAAGCAGACAACAAGAUGAUAAGGGCGUUUGAAUAAAACCCUUCUCUUCACCCAUUGUUUAAAUGGUGAAUGAUUCUUUUGAAGUUAAUACGGACUAAGAUGCGUUUCUUAAAGAACAAGUUUUAUUACUUAUGAUGAAAAAAUAAUGGAAAUAUGGCUCUCUUCCUAUACAGUUCACAAUUACAAAACCCAGAAAAACUUCCACUGUAUAAAAACAAAAACAAAAAUAUGUAAUCCAACAAGUAUAGAUAAAUAAAAUUAAAAAGAAAUGGGGAGUGGGUUACCUAAAAUCAAGAGGCAAAGAGCGAAAUUCCAGUGAAUAGAUGAAGAUGAGGGAUUUUAGAACAGUCCCUGAUCUCCAGAUCCAAACCGUUUGUCCAAGCGCUUGUCAGCCACCUCGAAGAGAAGAGCAAGUCGGGCGUAAAUUCAAGGUCAGUCACCUGUCGAUAAUCAGAGAGAUGAUAAGUAAGGAUCUCGGAAUCAGAAGGCUGACGGGUUGGAAUUGGAUGAAGAUUAAGAAAUUAAAACCCUUUUCGCUAUAAGUAUUAAAAAAUAUUAAUUAAAUUAAAUUAUCAUGAAA